AUAGCUAAGUUCAAGCACUGUAACAGUUCUUAUCAGUUCAAUAUCUGAUAUGUCUUCAAACAGAAGACUUUCUAAUAAACAGAUUUUGGGACUCAGGAGUUGGAUCUGGAACUUACUCUUUUCACUCUGUGCACUGUUCUGAAGGUGAAGGUGGCAUUUAGGGACACAGUUUUGUGA
rnacentral:snRNA from 1 species